rnacentral:rRNA from 1 species
CCAUUGUGACCUUACCUAUGUUCUGUUGCCUCGGGGGCGUGGUCAGCGCCCCUUGGAAUGGGACGAUGCCCUCCCGCCGGCAGCACCAAACUCUUUGAAAUUUAGAGCGGAUUUUAGUUUCUGAUUUGAAAACAAAAAAACAAGUUAAAACUUUCAACAACGGAUCUCUUGGUUCUGGCAUCGAUGAAGAACGCAGCGAAAUGCGAUAAGUAAUGUGAAUUGCAGAAUUCAGUGAAUCAUCGAAUCUUUGAACGCACAUUGCGCCCGGCAGCAAUCUGCCGGGCAUGCCUGUCCGAGCGUCAUUUCAACCCUCGAACCUCCGUUUCCUCAGGGAAGCUCAGGGUCGGUGUUGGGGCGCUACGGCGAGUCUUCGCGACCCUCCGUAGGCCCUGAAAUACAGUGGCGGUCCCGCCGCGGUUGCCUUCUGGGUAGUAAGUCUCUUUUGCAAGCUCGCAUUGGGUCCCGGCGGAGGCCUGCCGUCAAACCACCUAUAACUCCAGAUGGGUUGACCUCGGAUCAGGUAGGGUUACCCGCUGAACUUAAGCAUAUCAGUAGCCGGAGGAAAAUUACAGAGUUACUACUCCAAACCCAUUGUGAACCUUACCUAUGUUCUGUUGCCUCGGCGGCGUGGUCAGCGCCCCUCUGAAAAGAGGACGAUGCCCUCCCGCCGGCAGCCCAAACUCUUUGAAUUUUAAGGCGGAUUUUUAGUUUCUGAUUU